GCCUAGGUCAUCUCAAUCACAGAUUAAUAUGAAGGAUAACUAGAGCUUGACAUUGUCAGUAACAUUUCUGAAAAUUUACAUUUGUCAGAAUUUAAUUCACAUCAACAUUCUACUUGUGCAAAGAUAAACCUACUGCGAAGAAAAAACAUUACUAAGCUGUGACAUUUCUAAGAUGACCCUGCUUUCACCUGGUUAUAUAGGUUCCACAGCUAGAAAGGCCUGUGGAGUUUACGUAGUCUUCCAAACUAUAGAUUUGGAAAACAAGGAGAAAACAGGCAAAUUAUCAGUUUAAGUCUCUGUAUUCUGAGAACUAGGCCCAGAAAAAGUGUUGAAACCUGUUUCUCAUUCUCUUUAGCUGUAUGGUCUUUGGCAAAAUAUCUGAACUUUUUAAGUGUUAAUUACUUCAUUAGUGAAAUGAAGACAAGAGAUUUUAACUGAAAGCAUAUAGGGACUAUUAAUGGAGAUAAUGUUUAUAAAGCACUUACAACAUUACCUGGGCAUCGUAAACACUCAAUAAAUGCAAGUUUCUAAAAGCCACGUGCACAUACAACUUUAUCAGACCUUCUUUAAAUUAUGUGACACUCCUUAUUUCUUGAUAAAAGAUAAGGCACAGAUUAGAGCACCAUUUCUCAAACUUUAAUGCUGAUCUCUUUAAAAAUGAAGAUUCUAAUUCAUUUUGACGGUGGUGGAAACCUGAGUUACUUUGUUUCUAAUAAGUUAACUGGUAAUGUUGAUACCUCUAGUCCCGGGACCACGCUUUAAGGAGCAAGGCAUUCGAGUUUACUAUGUUUUAAAAUGUGCAUUAAUUACAGAGAGCCCCAUAGUUCACAGGCAAAUGCCCUGGUAUCCUGUAAAAUGAUCCAUUUGAAGGAUGCUUAAAGAUUAUGGGAGGUGAUAUGAGUUGUGGAAAGCAAAGGACUAACUUUUGCUUUCUUCUCAGUUUCAGAUUACUUCUUCUAUGGAUGCUGUGGGGAUAUUCCAAAAAUCUGCUCUCUAUGGAUGGAUGGCAGUGUGUUAUUUGGCAAGGAUUUUUUACUGCAAUUCCUCCCAUGCUCUGUAGGUAUGCCAAAAUAAAGAAAAUAAAACCACUUUUAACUGACAAAGUCUGGCUU
rnacentral:lncRNA from 1 species